UACGUAGGUGGCAAGCGUUGUCCGGAUUUACUGGGCGUAAAGAGCGCGCAGGCGGUCGUGCAAGUCGCGUGUGAAAGCCCCCGGCUCAACUGGGGAGGGUCACGCGAUACUGCUCGACUCGAAGGCAGGAGAGGGAAGUGGAAUUCCCGGUGUAGUGGUGAAAUGCGUAGAUAUCGGGAAGAACACCCGUGGCGAAGGCGGCUCUCUGGGACGGUACUGACGCUGAGACGCGAAAGCGUGGGGAGCGAACAGG
rnacentral:rRNA from 1 species